rnacentral:tRNA from 1 species
GGGGAUAUAGCUCAGUGGUAGAGCACUUGCCUAGUAAGCGCAAGGCCCUGGGUUCGGUCCCCAGCUCCG